rnacentral:rRNA from 1 species
CGAGGGGCAGCGCGGAGUAGCAAUACUCUGGCGGCGACCGGCGAAAGGGUGAGUAACGCGUGAGCAACAUGCCCGGUAGAGAGGGAUAGUCGAUGGAAACGUCGCGUAAUACCUCGUAACACACGGAACCGCAUGAUUCUGUGUUGAAAGAUUAAUCGCUACCGGAUUGGCUCGCGUGCCAUUAGCUAGUUGGCGGGGUAACGGCCCACCAAGGCGACGAUGGCUAGGGGUUCUGAGAGGAAGGUCCCCCACAUUGGAACUGAGACACGGUCCAGACUCCUACGGGAGGCAGCAGUGAGGAAUAUUGGUCAAUGGCCGAGAGGCUGAACCAGCCAUGCCGCGUGCGGGAGGACGGCCCUAUGGGUUGUAAACCGCUUUUGUCAGGGGGCAAUAAGGUCUACGUGUAGACUGAUGAGAGUACCUGGCGAAUAAGCAUCGGCUAACUCCGUGCCAGCAGCCGCGGUAAUACGGAGGAUGCAAGCGUUAUCCGGAUUUAUUGGGUUUAAAGGGUGCGUAGGCGGGUUUUUAAGCGUGAGGUGAAAUGCCACGGCUCAACCGUGGAACUGCCUCGCGAACUGGAGGCCUUGAAUGUCCGUGCCGUGGGAGGAAUGUGUGGUGUAGCGGUGAAAUGCAUAGAGAUCACACAGAACACCGAUUGCGAAGGCAUCUCACGAACGGAUGAUUGACGCUGAGGCACGAAAGCGUGGGGAUCAAACAGGAUUAGAUACCCUGGUAGUCCACGCAGUAAACGAUGAUGACUAACCGCUGGGCAUU